AUGCUAAGUAUCUUUGCACAAAAAGGAUAUGGAAAUGCAUAUCAUAAUUGUUGGGAGCAUCCAGAAGACAUGGAUAUACCGAGAACAACAUACAAGAUUGAUGCUAAUUCCCCUGGAACGGGGGCUGAAGCUAAGAUGGUUGCUGCUCUUUCUGCUACUUCAAUUGUCUUUAAGAAAACAUAUACCAGUUAUUCAUCCAAGCUAUUAAGCCAGUCAAAAUCUGAUGAACUGUUAUAG